AUGAACGCUAGCGACAGGCCUAACACAUGCAAGUCAGGGGCAGCACAAGGAGCAAUCUGAGGUGGCGACCGGCGCACGGGUGAGUAACACGUAUGCAACCUGCCUGUAAGCGGGGAAGUAACCCGUUGAAAGACGGACUAAUACCGCAUAAUACUAAAUUACUGCAUGGUAAUUUAUUUAAACAUUUUAUGGCUUACAGAUGGGCAUGCGCAUGAUUAGCUAGUUGGAGAGGUAACGGCUCCCCAAGGCAACGAUCAUUAGGGGUUCUGAGAGGAAGGUCCCCCACACUGGUACUGAGACACGGACCAGACUCCUACGGGAGGCAGCAGUGAGGAAUAUUGGUCAAUGGACGAGAGUCUGAACCAGCCAAGUCGCGUGCAGGAAGAAUGUUCCCUAUGGAUUGUAAACUGUCUUUUGCAGGGGAAUAAAGUGCAUCACGUGUGAUGUUUUGUAUGUACUCUGCGAAUAAGGAUCGGCUAACUCCGUGCCAGCCGCCGC
rnacentral:rRNA from 1 species